AUACCUACUUGCACUUCGCUAAAUUAAAAAAACAAACUAUAGGAACUCUUCAAUUUUGGAAGAUAAAAUAUUGCGCCAUAGAAGUCUUCAUUUAAACUGGAAAAUUGGUGAUGGUUUAUCUUAUGGAAUUUACAUACUUAGAUGCAACCGUGGUGUUGGAUUCUCGAUUCCGGGCCGCGUCAACUCUAAGACGUAUUGAAAGUCGCGGAUCACUCAGAUAUGACCUUCAGAUGUGAGCUUGCUGUAUACAUGUAGUUGAUUUUGUAAGCCGGUUCUCGGUAACAAGCAAGAAGACAUACAUUCCUUAAAUGUACGCAUGCACUAAUAAAUCAAGUCUUCCC